rnacentral:rRNA from 1 species
GACGAACCGUCCUAACGUUGUUCGGAAUCACUGGGCUUAAAGGGCGCGUAGGCGGCUUGCCAAGUCAGGGGUGAAAUCCUGCAGCUUAACUGUAGAAGGGCCUUUGAUACUGGCGAGCUCGAGGGAGGUAGGGGUAUGUGGAACUUCCGGUGGAGCGGUGAAAUGCGUUGAUAUCGGAAGGAACACCGGUGGCGAAGGCGGUUCUCUGGGCAUUACCUGACGCUGAGGAGCGAAAGUGUGGGGAGCGAACAGG